rnacentral:rRNA from 1 species
CAGCAGCCGCGGAAUACAGAGGGUGCGAGCGUUAAUCGGAUUUACUGGGCGUAAAGCGUGCGUAGGCGGCUUUUUAAGUCGGAUGUGAAAUCCCUGAGCUUAACUUAGGAAUUGCAUUCGAUACUGGGAAGCUAGAGUAUGGGAGAGGAUGGUAGAAUUCCAGGUGUAGCGGUGAAAUGCGUAGAGAUCUGGAGGAAUACCGAUGGCGAAGGCAGCCAUCUGGCCUAAUACUGACGCUGAGGUACGAAAGCAUGGGGAGCAAACAGGAUUAGAUACCCCGGUAGUCCCUGUCUCUUAUACC